GUGUGGUAGGAAAGUACUUUUAAUAGAAAUAUAAAAUGAUUUUAAAGGACCUUGAGAUAAAAAAAGAAUUCUUUUGGCUUUUCAAGUUUUUCUACCUCUUAUGUGUUGACAACAUUAUUGGUGCCUAACAAUGGAAAAUAAUGAACUGCGAUUUUAUGUCAUGUUUUGUUAAAUAAUUUAAAGUAAGCAUUCAUUUUUUGGGGCUUUUUAGAAGCUUUAGAUGUUUUGAGGAAACUCAAUUUUGUCACAACUGAAUUAGAUGUAAGAUCUGGUCUGUUAGUUGUCCUAUCUUGCUUGUGAUCAGAACCAGACUGUUUGCUUAUAAAAGUAAGAGACUGAUAAUCGGACCAGAGCGUUGUCUCAGCACAGCCUAUCACAAAAUGAAUGAAGUGAAACUUGAUUUGAACGGUGGUUAAUUAAAUGAUCCCUGCAUGUAGCCAUACAUUAUCUGCUCCUCUUGGAAUCACCUUGGCCACAGGGAGAGGAGACUUUGAAUUUGUCUACAUCAGCAUGAAAUUCUUCACAGUGGGACAGAGUCAGCAGACUGAAGCUGAAGGCCUUACAUCUAUGGUAUGUGCCAUUCAGGGCUUUUUCUUUGGAUUAGAUUUUAGUCUUGUCUUCUGGAUUGAAUGUUGCUAUCAUUUAUGCUAUGUAUUUAUAUUUAUAUUAGGGAAUUGAUAUUGGAUGGUGCUUUUUUUUUUCAUUUUGUUUAUUUUACACCUGGAGCAGAGCUUUCAGUUUGAUUUUCUAUUGAUGGAAUCUAAUUUGUGCCCACCAAAGCCAUCCAGUGUGAAAAACCAAUGCACAAUAAAUG
rnacentral:lncRNA from 1 species